rnacentral:rRNA from 1 species
UACGUAGGGGCAAGCGUUGUCCGGAAUUACUGGGCGUAAAGGGUGCGUAGGCGGCCUAAUAAGUCAGAUGUGAAAUACCAGGGCUCAACCUUGGGGGUGCAUUUGAAACUGUUGGGCUUGAGUGCAGGAGAGGAAAGUGGAAUUCCUAGUGUAGCGGUGAAAUGCGUAGAGAUUAGGAGGAACACCAGUGGCGAAGGCGACUUUCUGGACUGUAACUGACGCUGAGGCACGAAAGCGUGGGUAGCGAACAGGAUUAGAUACCCUGGUAGUCCCUGA